rnacentral:rRNA from 1 species
GACGAACGCUGGCGGCGUGCCUAAUACAUGCAAGUAGAACGCACAGUUUAUACCGUAGCUUGCUACACCAUAGACUGUGAGUUGCGAACGGGUGAGUAACGCGUAGGUAACCUGCCUGGUAGCGGGGGAUAACUAUUGGAAACGAUAGCUAAUACCGCAUAGUAUUGAUUAUUGCAUGAUAAUUGAUUGAAAGAUGCUAUUGCAUCACUACCAGAUGGACCUGCGUUGUAUUAGCUAGUAGGUGAGGUAACGGCUCACCUAGGCGACGAUACAUAGCCGACCUGAGAGGGUGAUCGGCCACACUGGGACUGAGACACGGCCCAGACUCCUACGGGAGGCAGCAGUAGGGAAUCUUCGGCAAUGGACGAAAGUCUGACCGAGCAACGCCGCGGGAGUGAAGAAGGGUUUCGGAUCGUAAAGCUCUGUUGUAAGAGAAGAACGGGUGUGAGAGUGGAAAGUUCACACUGUGACGGUAUCUUACCAGAAAGGGACGGCUAACUACGUG